AUUCCAUUUCCAAUGAACAACUAAUGAGUACUAGCAGUCAUUCUGACCAAUGUGUUACACUUGAACUUGAAGAUGACCCAGCACUCUGGCCAAAACAUCUCACUGACAAAGAGCGCUGCUCAAUAGUGCAGAGAGGCCCAGUUCAGAGCAAGGAUAGAAUUUAUCCUAAAAAUCAAGAGGGCAGAAGAUUUACAAACAGCAAUUAUUACCUGCAAAUGAAGAAUGGAGAAAAAAUAAAGAGGUCCUGGCUCGUGUACAGUGAAAAAAAUGACUGUGUUUUGUGCUUUUGUUGCCGCUUGUUUGGUAACCGAGAAAAGGCCACUCAGCUAAAUGCAGAUGGGUUUAAUUACUGGAAAAAUCUUUCUGCACACUUGAGACAGCAUGAGAGGUCAGCAGAACACAUCACAAACAUGGAUGCUUGGCGCAAUCUUUCACAGAAACUACAAACCAACACAGCUAUAGAUCAGGUAAACCAAGAUCUAAUUGCUCUUGAAGUAAACCGCUGGAAAGAGAUUUUAAGACGACUUAUUGCAAUUGUAAACUAUCUGGCAGAGCACAAUCUUGCAUUUCGUGGCCACUCAGACAAAUUCUUUGAGGCUGGUAAUGGAAAUUUUCUUGGACAAGUGCAAUUAAUGGCUCAGUUUGACCCAGUGAUGCGAGAGCAUCUGAGGAGAAUUCAGGCAAAACAGCUAAGUGACACCUAUUUAAGCAAGAAUAUCCAAAAUGAACUUAUUUCCCUUGUGGCAAAAUGUACAACUGAUGCAAUUGUAGAGAGAGUGAAAACAGCCAAAUACUAUGCAGUAAUUAUGGACUGCACUCCAGACCUCAGUCACAAUGAGCAGCUCUCAGUGGUGCUACGAAUUGUUAAUUGUGAAUUAUCAAAGGGUGUCUCCAUCCAUGAGCACUUUGUUGGAUUUCUUCAGGCACUUGACACAACAGGAAAAGGCUUAUGUGAGACAUUUUUAGGCCAACUAGAAACACUAGGAUUGGAUCUUUGCAAUUGUCGAGGCCAGUCUUACGAUAACGGGAGCAACAUGCAGGGUAAAAAGCAGGGAGUCCAAAAGAGAGUGCUGGAAAUAAACAACAAAGCGUUAUAUGUUCCUUGUGGAAGUCACACACUGAACCUUGUUGUUGGUGAUGCAGCCAAGUCCUCCGUGACGUCCAUCAGCUUCUUUGGGCUGAUACAGCGACUUUACAAUCUUUUCAGCUCUUCAGUUCAACGUUGGAGUAUUCUCAAAGAACACGUCAAGAAUUUGACACUUAAAGCAUUGUCAACAACCAGGUGGGAGUGUAGAGUUGAAGCUGUGAAAGCUGUUCGCUACCAGCUGCCUGAAAUCGUGAAGGCAUUAACUGCUUUAAAGGAGUACGCCACAGAGAAAAGAGAUGCAGAUGUUGUCUCAACAGCUGAAAGCAUCUGCAAGGAGCUGCAGAAAUGGCCUUUUGUGUAACACAAGACAGAAGUCCAAAAACAACAUGUAGCAGCAAGCAGAUCCAUAUAGAAGAUACUAUCAGAACAACCAAGAUACAACUCCAGAUGUCUAUACAUCAUUGCUGUGUGAAGACUGCUGAAGAGAAGUAACAAGUAGGGC